CACAGCAUAUUUAUAUUCUUACAACAUGUUUAAACUUCUCAGUUAUAAAUUUCUUGUAUGUCUAGAAUUGCCUGGGAAAGCAAACCUGCACAACCUGCCCUUGUCCUUCUUCCUUGGCAAGCUUGAUGCACCUUUUGUAAGGUUGGUGGGAUCUUGAAGGCAAGGGGUUUCUAGAACAACUUUGUGCUGUAACACCAUCCAACAUUUACUUAUGAUGUGGACCCAUAGGGCCUGAUGGUGGAUUGUCCUGUAGCUAUUUUCAGCAGUUGCAAACAGGGUUCCAGAGCUGGAUGCAAUACUCCAAGAGAGGUCUCACAAGAAUGGCGUAAAGGGGCAGAAUCACCCACCUUGACCUGCUGGCCACCCGUCUUUUGAUGCAGUCCAGGCUGCAAUUGGCCUUCUGGACUGUAAGCACACAUUGCUAGCUCAUGUCCAGCUUUUCAUCCACCAGUAUCCUUGAGUCCUUCUCUGCAGGACUGCUCUCAAUCCCUUCAUCCCCCAGCCUGUAUUGAUAACAGAGGUUGCCCCUGUUCAAAUGUAGGACUUUGCACUUGUCCUUAUUGAACCUCAUGAGGUUCACAUGGGCACACUUCCUGAGGUUGUCCAGGUCCCUCUGGACAGUAUCCUGUCCCUCAGGCAUGUCAACUGCACCACUCAGCUUGGUGUUAUCUGCAAACUUGCUAAGGAUGCACUCGAUCCUACUAUGUCAUUGAUGAAGAUAUUGAACAAUGUUGGUCCCAUUAUGGAUCCCCAAGGUACACCACUUGUCACCAAUCUCCAUCUGGACAUCGAGCUAUUGACCACUGCCCGCUGUGUAGGAUAUUAGUCUUAUGAAGGCUGGAAACUACGAUCUUUUGAAAAAAAAACUCUCUUUACAAAAGAUGGCCCAAUAAUGUUUCUUUAUUGAUUUGCAUUCUUCCUGAGUGAUCUGUAAAAAUAGCUGCUCACUUCCCAUCAGAAAUUCCCGCUUUGUGAGAUGUACUCUUCUGCAAUCUCCUUUACCCAAAGUACUAAUACUAAUGCCUUUAUCGAAAAAAACGAAUUUAAUUUCUAGGUAUCUUUCUUCCUGCAAUAAUGGAAGGCCCCUCAAGUAUCUUACCAUGCUGCUACUAUUUGCUGUAUCAGUUCCACAUGCUAAUAUGAUUUCCUGUAAGAGGAGAUGAAUAUAUUAGUUCUGCAGUGAAAUCACCAAAAAAAAAAAAAAAAGCCUGACCAGUGCUUUUAAGGAGAGUAAUCUCAAUGGAAAAUAUUAAAUUUGUUCCACAGUAUCAGUGUUAGAUGUAAAAUCUUGCUCUACCACGGGCUCCUGACUUUCUCUUUGGUUUUCUGGCCAGCGAUGGAUGUUGUUUCUGCCACCUGUUUGAAGACAAUUGUGCAACUGGAACCAUGGAAUGAUGUCCAGUUGCCUUUUUUAGAAUAUGAAUAGGGCUUUUGAAUUUGGCUGUGCUGAGCAGUUUGGGACUGAAUCACUCUGUAGACUUGCCAGAGAAAGUGUUUAGCCUAUGGACAUGAGCCAAAGCCCACUGCAUCUCACAGCAAGACUCUAUUUGGCUUUGGUGGGCUCCGGUUCAAGCUCUAUAUGCAUGACAAGUUCUUCUCUGGAAUUAUCAAAUAUUCUUCGUUUUUAGUUUCUGUUUUUAUUUUCCCAGAGAUUUUGACCUCUUAUUUUUCACCACUGCCUGUCUCUGCUCUUCUUUCUCUGAAUGGGAUGUUAGGACUGAUGGUAACGUGGAUGGUCUGUCAAGAAAAAGUCAGGGGCAAGGAGCCAUAUCAGGGCUCAGCUGCCCAAACUGCUCUGUACCCACUAACCACUUUUCCUUGCUUUUCACUUGUGAAUGUGUGCUAUUUUGAAAUGCCUCAAAUACUGUCGGACUCCAAGCUGUUUUGGACGCGAGCAUGUCAUUUUCCUUCCCUCUGCUGCAAUCAUGCUUGGAUCCUGCAGGCAUUUCCCAUAACAGGCCUCAGUUAUCAACGGCAGGAGUUUUAGUGUAUUUCCCUUCGCAAAGACUUUUGUUGCCAGAUGGGAGUUGUUAGUUGUUUAUAUCAGGCUAUGAGUAAUGCCCUUUUGCUAGCACUGUACACAAUGGUUUUUUUUUUGACAUUUAUUCCUUCUGUUGUUAUACAAUGUUAGCUUUGCAAGUUAUAAAGAACAACC